rnacentral:rRNA from 1 species
GACGAACGCUGGCGGCGUGCUUAACACAUGCAAGUCGAACGAAGUGGCGAACGGGUGAGUAACGCGUAAUCAACCUGCCCUUCAGAGGGGGACAACAGUUGGAAACGACUGCUAAUACCGCAUACUGAAGGAGGGGAUGGCGUCUGAUUAGCUAGUUGGAGGGGUAACGGCCAACAAAGGCGAUGAUCAGUAGCCGGUCUUAGAGGGUGAACGGUCACAUCGGGACUGAGGCACGGCCCAGACUCCUUCGGGAGGCAGCAGUGGGGAAUUUUCCGCAAUGGACGAAAGUCUGACGGAGCAACGCCGCGUGGGUGAUGACGGCCUUCGGGUUGUAAAGCUCUGUUAAGCGGGACGCGGUACCGGAAUAGAAAGCCACGGCUAACUACGUGCCAGCAGCCGCGGUAAUAC